UCAUCCUCUGAUAGACCUGGGACAAUUGACCGUUGUUCUGGUUUGCACUAGGAUGCGAGAGAAUACAAAUCCCUGCCUUUUCUGUCUGUCUUCGUGGCGAGUCCAGAUUCAGUGAGGGAUUACAUAG